rnacentral:rRNA from 1 species
AUUGAACGCUGGCGGCAGGCCUAACACAUGCAAGUCGAACGAGUGGCGGACGGGUGAGUAAUGUCUGGGAAACUGCCUGAUGGAGGGGGAUAACUACUGGAAACGGUAGCUAAUACCGCAUACCAUCGAUGUGGCCCAGAUGGGAUUAGCUGGUGGGGGGGGUAACGGCGCACCAAGGCGACGAUCCCUGGCUGGUCGGAGAGGAUGACCAGCCACACUGGAACUGAGACACGGUCCAGACUCCUACGGUAGGCAGCAGUGGGGAAGAUUGCACAAUGGGCGCAAGCCUGAUGCAGCCAUGCCGCGUGUAUGAAGAAGGCCUUCGGGUUGUAAAGUACUUUCAGCGGGGAGGCGUUACUCGCAGAAGAAGCACCGGCUAACUCCGUGCCAGCAGCCGCGGUAAUAC